AUUGAACGCUGGCGGCAGGCCUAACACAUGCAAGUCGAGCGGUAGAGAGAAGCUUGCUUCUCUUGAGAGCGGCGGACGGGUGAGUAAUGCCUAGGAAUCUGCCUGGUAGUGGGGGAUAACGUUCGGAAACGGACGCUAAUACCGCAUACGUCCUACGGGAGAAAGCAGGGGACCUUCGGGCCUUGCGCUAUCAGAUGAGCCUAGGUCGGAUUAGCUAGUUGGUGGGGUAAUGGCUCACCAAGGCGACGAUCCGUAACUGGUCUGAGAGGAUGAUCAGUCACACUGGAACUGAGACACGGUCCAGACUCCUACGGGAGGCAGCAGUGGGGAAUAUUGGACAAUGGGCGAAAGCCUGAUCCAGCCAUGCCGCGUGUGUGAAGAAGGUCUUCGGAUUGUAAAGCACUUUAAGUUGGGAGGAAGGGCAGUAAAUUAAUACUUUGCUGUUUUGACGCUACCGACAGAAUAAGCACCGGCUAACUCUGUG
rnacentral:rRNA from 1 species